GUUCAAGCCCCAGGACUGGCAAAAAAAAAAAAAAAAAAGAUAGAAAAGAAAUUUUCUCAAAUGAAUCUAAACUGAGUGACAAUGUUUUCUCUAAUCUGGAAGAAAAUGUUGUUUUAAAUAGGUUGCUCAUCAGAUGCUUCUGCCACCAAGCAGGGAUGAUUAGGAAGGGCAGGGGGACCUCUUGUAUUUCCUUAAGAGAAUUAAAGGACAGGAAAACUAGGGCGAGGGUAAAACCCAAAU